rfam:Streptomyces sp. CB03234 scaffold2, whole genome shotgun sequence.
UCGGCCCCGGUUCACGCACGCGCAGCCCGCACGUGCGACCCGGCGCC